AUAGUACUCCCUCCGUCCGAAAAUAGUUAUCAUCAAAAAAAAUAAAAGGGAAUGUAUCUAGAUGUAUUUUAGUUCUAGAUACAUUUCUUUUCAUCCAUUUUGAUUACAACUAUUUUCUGACGGAGGGAGUAAGAC
rfam:Triticum aestivum genome assembly, contig: Triticum_aestivum_CS42_TGACv1_scaffold_049641_1BS